AGUUGUGAACCUGUGUGCCAAUUUUGCCAAUUUUGUAGACAAGCAGAAACUUUGGCACUCGCCUCUGUCCUAUCCUCCUCUCGCCGCCGUCUCCCUUCUCUCACCUCCGUCGUCUUACUCCUCCUUUCUCUGUCUCUGGAAUCCUAUCGUCAUCUUCCUCGCAUGCAAGGCUCUGGCCCUUUCAAUUGUAACCAAAACGUGUUUCAGUUCUGAGGAAGAGCAAGAAAAAGGAAGAACCAGUAUUAGAAGAUCUUCCCAAAGAGUACUAUGAUGAUUCUAAGCCAUGAAGGAUUUGAUAAACCCACAAUUGAUAACAAUGUGCAGCGGCACCAACGGUUUUGGACAAGGAACAAAUAAG